rnacentral:rRNA from 1 species
UACGUAGGGUGCGAGCGUUAAUCGGAAUUACUGGGCGUAAAGCGUGCGCAGGCGGUUUUGUAAGACAGAUGUGAAAUCCCCGGGCUUAACCUGGGAAUGGCAUUUGGGACUGCAAGGCUGGAGUAUGGCAGAGGGGACUAGAAUUCCUGGUGUAGCAGUGAAAUGCGUAGAUAUCAGGAGGAAUACCGAUGGCGAAGGCAGGUCCCUGGGCCAAUACUGACGCUCAUGCACGAAAGCGUGGGGAGCAAACAGG